UGGGAAGCUUGUAUGCAACAGAACAUGGA
rnacentral:piRNA from 1 species